AGGACAAAACGCUGGCGCGGUACCUAAGACGAGUGCAAGUCGAACGGGCGCUUCACCUUCGGGUGGGUGUGCUAGUGGCGGACGGGUGAGUAACGCGUAGGAACCUGUCAUCAAGAGGGGGGAUAACGCUGGGAAACCGGCGCUAAUACCGCAUGUGGUCAUGAAAAUGAAGAAAGCAGCAAUGCGCUUGAUGAGGGGCCUGCGUCCGAUUAGCUUGUUGGUGGGGUAAAGGCCUACCAAGGCAUCGAUCGGUAGCUGGU
rnacentral:rRNA from 1 species